UAAUUUGGAAAAGAACAUUUCCCAUGGCCAGGACUCACAAAAGCAUGCUUGAGUCUGGGCUGUUUUCUGUAACUGCCGCUCCAACUUUGUAGUGAUACCAAGACGGGUUGUUUCCCGCCCUUGACUCUUGGAGGAGGGAAGGUAGGUGACCCACACUCCCCUACGUCAAACCAUUCCCGGUCUCACUGACUCACGCCACAGGGCCACCCCGUCAUGCAAGACCAGAGACGAGAUGCGGACAGCUAGCCGCAGGCUCCCAAAAGAAAUCACCGUGACAGCAGGGACAGGCGAGAGCAAACUCAGUGACCCUAAAGACUGGCAGAGUGGAAAGGUGAAUACGCCGUAGGAACGAGCAGCCUUAUGCAGAAAGCCAGAAUGCUGGAGAUGUGAAUUUAUUUUCUUUGCCACCCAGGGGAGCCAGAGACUCACGAAAAUCUUGUACAAGCUGCCACGGUGAAGAGAAAAGCAGUGUUUGGCUUUAGGACUUAGUCACAGGUGCCAAACACCGAGUCACCGACGGAGCAAAGCAAAAACAGGACGCCAGCAGAGAAGACCCUCUCGGUGCAUCUGGACUUCUUUCACUACCUGUUGCAGUAGUUACCCACGUGCUUACUAGGAAACCGUCAAGAAGCACACAGAAUCACCAAAAUUGGACGAACGCAGGCUGGCGGGGUGGAGGAAGGACAAAGGUGAUUGACAGGC